rnacentral:rRNA from 1 species
GACGAACGCUGGCGGCGUGACUAAUACAUGCAAGUAGAACGCAGUUGCGAACAGGUGAGUACCGCGUAGGUAACUGCCUCCUACCGGGGGAUAACUAUUGGAAACGCUCGCUAAUACCGCAUACUGUGAGAUGGACCUGCGUUGUAUUAGCUAGUUGGUGAGGUCAAGGCGCACGAAGACGACGAUACAUAGCCGACCUGAGAGGGUGUGCGGCGAAAGUGGGGUUGAGACACGGCCCAGUCUCCUACGGGAGGCAGCAGUAGGGAAUCUUCGGAAGUGGACGGAAGUCUGACCGAGCAACGCCGCGGGAGUGAAGAAGGUUUUCGGAUCGGAGAGCUCUGUUGUUAGGGAAGCGGUAGCUAAGCAGAAAGGCGCGGCUAACUACUGGCCAGCAGCCGCGGUAAUAC